rnacentral:rRNA from 1 species
UACGGAGGAUGCGAGCGUUAUCCGGAUUUAUUGGGUUUAAAGGGUGCGUAGGCGGGCUUCUAAGUCAGCGGUAAAAAUUCGGGGCUCAACCCCGUCCGGCCGUUGAAACUGGGGGUCUUGAGUGGGCGAGAAGAAGGCGGAAUGCGUGGUGUAGCGGUGAAAUGCAUAGAUAUCACGCAGAACCCCGAUUGCGAAGGCAGCCUUCCGGCGCCCUACUGACGCUGAGGCACGAAAGUGCGGGGAUCGAACAGG